AUAUAAAUACAAAUGUGUCUCAAAUCCAAUAUAUUGAAGAAGUUCUGCAAACAGAUCUAAAAAAAGAACUUGUUAUUUCCAUGUCCUCGCUGUUCUCUACGGACCCAAAAUUCCCGUCGAAACUCCUUCCUCUUCCCGUCGCUGUUCCAGGUUUUAUCUUCCCGUCAAAGUUCCUUCCUCUUCCCGAGCGAGCUUAGUGCUGCAAGCUCGGUGAGGGGAGGUUUUCUACAUUGUUUUUGUUUAUGACAAGAUUGUUUUUUUUUUCUGACCCAUGGUUACAAAGUCAGCUCACACAAGUCGUGCUUCAGGGUCUUAAUUCCAAGUUUGAUUCGUUGAAGAAUCAGAAUGGUAAGGUUACAUGAGAGGAUCUUCCGUCUAUAUUGAUUGGUCAAGGUAUCUCCUAUAACAGCUGAAAUCUAGGCUAAGACUUCUUCAAGCAGGGCAUCACCUGCACCUGCACUUACUCACGUGAACAAAGGUAUAUGUAAGAAAACUUCUUUCUUCUCCAGUUCAGCUGAUUUCUCUCUGAUGGUGUCAUUAAGCAACCUGAGCUCAUUCUCCCUCGCCUUAAGUUUCUUAAGAGAUGCUUCCAUUAGUUCAGCUUCCUUUCUCCUUGUCUCGGUCUCUACGGUUUGCUUCAGGUCAAAAUCUUUAACAUUCAUCUCAAAAGCAAAAGACUUCUCAUAUGGGAAAAGCAAAGCAACCUCCUUUUCCCUCCUUUCAAGCUCAGCCAUUAUUAACCCUUGAUAUUACACCUCCCCCAUGAUACCUCCAAUAUUUAUUUUCUUUUUUUAAUAGUAUGAUGUAUUCUUAUUUUUAAUUAUGUUUUUAGUUUUAUUUUGU